GGGAGGAAAGGGUCAGAAGUCAGCUCUUUCCCAGGCAGAAGGCCUAAUACUGGGGCUUGCGGUUGGACCUGUAGCAGUUUAUGGUCCUGGGUUCUAUUUCUGGCUUUUCAGAACUUGGGGGAAUUCAGCCUUGGGUUCAGAGCCCAGAGCUUUAAGGGUUUUGUGGCUUUGAGAGGUCAGACUCAACAGCCCAACAAGCAGCCGGGGGUAGGGAAAUCUUGACUUUUCUUCACUCCAGGCACUCACCUCUCAUUCUCUCAUGCAGCAGAGGAAAACUGAAUGGCUACUAUGAGCCAGGUUGUCAACUUGGAUACAUGCAUCCACAUCACAGUUGGAGUAAAGAGGCAGAAAUGAAAACUGAAAUACAAUUGUGCCUGCACCUGUUGUCUUUCAGAGGAUCCUCACAGCGGUCUUCUGAGUAAAUUGAGGUUCAGAGUCGGUACUAUGUCAGGCCCUGGGGAUACCACUCAUUCCCUCUCCUUACGGGAAUUGCUUGCAGCACCCAGCUGCCCCUGCCCACUCUCGGUGCAUACUUGCUGAAGAAAUGCUGGAAUGAGAGAACACAGGCUUGAAGACGUCUUCACAAAAGCUGAGCUCCCACCUUGGACCAAGGCCCUGGGCCAAGACGGAUAAGAGGCCUGGAUUUACUCUCCCACCUGAAACAACCAAAAAGACCCGACUGUAUAUCAAACAGUGGUUCUCAGAGCACCAGCUAUCUGGAAAUGAAGGGCAGCGACCACUGAAAGACAGGAAGCUAGUGAGGAAACUUCCCGAGUAUUUAUGUACCAACACCUGUGAUUAUGCAAAGCUUCGUUUAAAACCACAGUCCAUGUUCACAUCCAGAACAUAAACCGAGGACUUGCUGUUCCAUGCCCUCCCUCCCAACUUUCCAAAAGAAUAUCUUCUCAACAUAAAGAGAGAUGCACUCUUUGUUUCUGUGGAAAACAAGUGCUCCUGGUUAUAUGAUCACAUACCCCUGAAACGGUUACGUUUCUUCAUGUGCUGCAUUUUAGAAGGCCCAUAAAAGAGUUCUUGUCGAGAGAAAACACAGCUGGUGCCCAAUUAGAGAGGUGAUCAAGACUAAUUGACCGCGAGAGCUCAUAAUGAAGCCAGACCCCACGCUGCCGAGAGAGAGAGACUGCGGCUGGGGAUGGAGGUGGCACCACUCGAUCACGCAAAGGCCAUGACUGAGAGGAGUGGAUGGUUUAUUCCGGGAGGCAGAGUUGGUCAUGUGGUGACCCCUGAAUUGAAGGUUUAAAGGCUGGUUCUGCAAGGCUGACACCUGACUCUGGCUCACUCCCUUCUGUGGGGACCCUCAGCUCUCAAACCUCUAUUCAGGCAUCAGCUCCUAUCUUGUCUGUCAUCACUGGCCCUGGGAGAUUUCCAGAGGGGAAGAUGACUAUCAUCUUCAGGAAGACCUCCAGGAUGUGUCUGUACUUCUGUCCUCACAGCCCUCUUCAGACAGUGGAUGUCUUCCUUACCCCUUCCCUCCCAAACAUCACACUGUCACCCCUCCUGGCCCAUGGCUGCUGCUUUUGUGUCUUCUUCCCACUCUGCCCUCUACAACCCCAAGACACUGUGUUGCACCCAAGAUGCUCCGCUUAAAACCUGGCUGCUCUGUGUGCCUCUGUCUCAGACCAUAGGUGGAACCUGUAUUCCUCACUCUCUCUGUGGAGAUGGGUUUUGCUUUUCCAUAGCCCCCAUGCCUCAGGGCCAAAAGGCAGGAUCAAGUUUCUUCUUUUGCCUCCCAGUGCUACUCCCAAUAGCCCCCUGGCCAUUGGAUGUUUGCACCCCAAUCUGCCUGUUUGUGGUCAUCUGUGACUUAAGUGACUCUUCUACAUCUGGUCUUUCUCCAGCUUCCUGUGGCAUACAGGGCAGUGGGCUUCUACAGACACUUUUCUCUGAGGUCUUCCAUUUUAUAUUUGCAUGUUUGACUAUUUAAAAAAGCACACUUUAUUUCCAAAGCUCAUCUCCUGGCAAAAAGUAUAGCCCAGGAAGUUGCAAAAUACUUAACUGGAGGCUGGUUAUAUCCUUCCAUGAACCCCCAUUGUCCCAGAGGAAUGAAAACAUGGCUCCAUCGGUCAGACCUUUGACCUCCCCAGUUCCAGGGACCUUCACCUUGACUGCAUGCCAGCCACCCCACUCAGAGCCACACCUGGCUCUUAUCUCGGCUGGCUUCUGCUCCACCCAUGAAAUCUCAAACCACAGGGUCUCACUCUCCAGCCCUCCCUCUUAUCUCUCCAGAGCUUUCACCAAGCUGGUCUUGGACCUCCUCCUAAGUUCCAGGCUCUGGAUCCCUCCCUCCUUUCUUCCCAGCCUCUCAGACCUCCUGGGAUUCUCACUCUUGCCCUGCCUCUUCUGCCACAUGGAUGGAGGGACAAAUAGCAAGAGCAAGAAAGAAACAUUUGUGUCUGUAAGCCACUUAGACAUUUUUAAAAAAUUUUCUGCAGCAUGACCUGGCUCUUCCUACUGAGGUACCUGCCCCCUUGGUGGGCGAGAAGAUGAAAGGUCAUGUGAGUAGAGCGCAGGCCCAGUGUCAGGCCCAUAAUAAUCUCUCCAGAAAUACUAGCUAUUACUCUCACCACCAAAAUUCACAGGGCCCGUGGCACUGCCUUGUAAUGUAUGUAAUGUAUCUACACAUCCCCAGUUGGAUCACUCUCCUUCUGUACAAUAGCGAUUCCAAACUUUAUCCAUCAUCUUCCCACCAAACCCUCAGCCUUCGUGAAAAAGAUAGAAGUGAUCAGGUGGGAACUUUCUCAGUAAGUUUUCUCCAAACCUGCAAGUUUCAGUUUCCCUCCCGUCUUAGAGGAAGUUGGGUUCUAUCACCUGACCACAAGUAUUGAAGGGCAGAAGUAUCAGUGACUUCUAAGACUGGGAAAAGCUGAGCAUUCAUUCAUUCCUCCAUCCAUUCAUCCAUUAUAAAUACCAAGUAGGAGGGGGUCUGGGGCUUUGAGAAGUGUGAUUUGAAGAUGAGGAAAAAUUGAGACCUAAAGGGAUAGCCAGGCUAGACCUAUUUUUUUGUUUUUCCCAGAUCGGCACUUUCUGUGCUCUCUUGCCUACCUACCCAGGUACAUCCGGUGGCCAAAGGGAGGAAGUGGGAGGACUGGCACUCACAAACCAGGCCUACCUGCCUCUACCCUGAGCAUAUGGAGGAAGAAAAGAGGUCGGUGAGGCAUCUGUAAAAAGCCUGAGGAAGGGACUGCCCUUGUCGAAGCUCCAUCCAUUCUCCCGGGCUACAUGAGUGGCUGACACACAAAGAAAGAACUGCACGCUUCUCCCACCUCCAGGCAGGAUUCCCUGGGACCCCAGACAGACAGGCAGGCAGGCAGGAAGACAGACAGUGCUGUUUCUCCUCCUGAUACAGCAUCCUGGGCAGCUGAGGCUGACUCAGCCUCUGCACCCUCCCAGUGGGUGGGGUAGACAGUACGCCUAGUCCGCUGGGUGGACGUGGUAGGUGGUACCCAGAGUAAAGUCGCAGACAUCUGCAGACACAGAGAACUUUGAUUCCCCCGCAACUUAGGGACAUUUGCAGCGCUCCCUCCUUUACCUGUCGUCACUCAGCCGCACCAGCUGGUUCCAAACUCAAACAGCCAUCGGCCCAGUCCCUGGGCGAAUGGGAUGGGAAGUCCUUGGUGGCGCAGCACAUCGUGGCUGAAAGGGCCUUAGGGACUAGCUGUCACUCCCCUGGAGGAUGACAGGACCGUCCACCCAUUCCAGGGAGACCCAGGUCCUGGCGCGGGGUCCAAAGAGCCUAAAGAGCUGGCAACUCAGAUCCAGAGCAACUUGCUUGUUAAGGACACAGGUCAUGGCCGCCAGGCAUAGGUGAAAGAAAGUGUUUAGCGUGUAAUAUUAAAGUGUUUGCCUUUA